rnacentral:rRNA from 1 species
GACGAACGCUGGCGGCGUGCUUAACGCAUGCAAGUCGAACGGAAAGGCCCUGCUUUUGUGGGUUGCUCGAGUGGCGAACGGGUGAGUAACACGUGAGUAACCUGCCCUUGACUUUGUGAUAACUUUAGGAAACUGGGGCUAAUACCCGAUAUGAUCUCCUGCUCCAUGUUGGUGGUUGGAAAGUUUCGGCGGUUGUGGAUGGACUCGAGGCUUAUCAGCUUGUUGGUGGGGUAGUUGCUUACCAAGGGUUUGACGGGUAGCCGGCAUGAGAGGGUUACCGGGGACAAGGGGACUGAGAGACGGACCAGAAUGGUACGGGACGCAGCAGGGGGGAACAUUGCACAGUGGGCGGAAGCGAGAGGUAGAAACGCCGGGAGCGGGAUGACGGCUUACGGGGUGUAAACAGCUGUCGAAGGUGACGAAGAGGGAGUGACGGUAAUGGGUAAAGAAGCAACGGCUAACUACGUG